rnacentral:pre_miRNA from 2 species
GUUAAGGGGGUUGUUGUCUGGUUCAAGGUCUCCACAUACAUCAUAUACAUGGAGAGCAUGGUAUGGAUUGUACGUUUUGGAGAUCUCGGACCAGGCUUCAAUCCCUUUAAC